rnacentral:rRNA from 1 species
UACGAAGGGGGCUAGCGUUGUUCGGAAUCACUGGGCGUAAAGCGCACGUAGGCUGACUGUUAAGUCGGGGGUGAAAUCCUGGAGCUCAACUCCAGAACUGCCUUCGAUACUGGCGAUCUCGAGUUCGGGAGAGGUGAGUGGAACUGCGAGUGUAGAGGUGAAAUUCGUAGAUAUUCGCAAGAACACCAGUGGCGAAGGCGGCUCACUGGCCCGAUACUGACGCUGAGGUGCGAAAGCGUGGGGAGCAAACAGG